GGUGGGGAUUAGUGGCGAACGGGUGAGUAACACGUGGGCAAUCUGCCCUUCACUCUGGGACAAGCCCUGGAAACGGGGUCUAAUACCGGAUACAACCACUAGGGGCAUCUCUUGGUGGUGGAAAGCUCCGGCGGUGAAGGAUGAGCCCGCGGCCUAUCAGCUUGUUGGUGAGGUAACGGCUCACCAAGGCGACGACGGGUAGCCGGCCUGAGAGGGCGACCGGCCACACUGGGACUGAGACACGGCCCAGACUCCUACGGGAGGCAGCAGUGGGGAAUAUUGCACAAUGGGCGAAAGCCUGAUGCAGCGACGCCGCGUGAGGGAUGACGGCCUUCGGGUUGUAAACCUCUUUCAGCAGGGAAGAAGCGAAAGUGACGGUACCUGCAGAAGAAGCGCCGGCUAACUACGUGCCAGCAGCCGCGGUAAUACGUAGGGCGCGAGCGUUGUCCGGAAUUAUUGGGCGUAAAGAGCUCGUAGGCGGUCUGUCGCGUCGGAUGUGAAAGCCCGGGGCUUAACCCCGGGUCUGCAUUCGAUACGGGCAGACUAGAGUGUGGUAGGGGAGAUCGGAAUUCCUGGUGUAGCGGUGAAAUGCGCAGAUAUCAGGAGGAACACCGGUGGCGAAGGCGGAUCUCUGGGCCAUUACUGACGCUGAGGAGCGAAAGCGUGGGGAGCGAACAGGAUUAGAUACCCUGGUAGUCCACGCCGUAAACGGUGGGAACUA
rnacentral:rRNA from 1 species